rnacentral:rRNA from 1 species
AACGAACGCUGGCGGCAGGCCUAACACAUGCAAGUCGAACGCUGUAGCAAUACAGAGUGGCAGACGGGUGAGUAACGCGUGGGAACGUGCCCUUCGGUUCGGGAUAACUCAGGGAAACUUGAGCUAAUACCGGAUACGCCCUUUGGGGGAAAGAUUUAUUGCCGAAGGAUCGGCCCGCGUCCGAUUAGCUAGUAGGUGAGGUAAAGGCUCACCAAGGCGACGAUCGGUAGCUGGUCUGAGAGGAUGAUCAGCCACACUGGGACUGAGACACGGCCCAGACUCCUACGGGAGGCAGCAGUGGGGAAUAUUGGACAAUGGGCGCAAGCCUGAUCCAGCCAUGCCGCGUGAGUGAUGAAGGCCCUAGGGUUGUAAAGCUCUUUCGCCAGGGACGAUAAUGACGGUACCUGGAUAAGAAGCCCCGGCUAACUUCGUGCUAGCCGCCGCGGUAAUAC